rnacentral:tRNA from 1 species
AUUUAUAUAGUUUAAGAAAAAACAUUAUAUUUUCAAUGUAAAAAUAAAUUUUAUUUUAUAAAUA